rnacentral:rRNA from 1 species
GACAGAGGGUGCAAGCGUUGUUCGGAAUCAUUGGGCGUAAAGGGCGCGUAGGCGGUUUUGUAAGUCGAAUGUGAAAGCCCAGGGCUCAACCUUGGAAGUGCAUCCGAAACUGCGAAACUUGAAUCCUGGAGAGGGUGGUGGAAUUCCCAGUGUAGAGGUGAAAUUCGUAGAUAUUGGGAAGAACACCGGUGGCGAAGGCGGCUCACUGGCUCGUAACUGACGCUCAUGCACGACAGCGUGGGGAUCAAACAGG